GGAUUAGAUACCCGGGUAGUCCAGCUGUAAACUAUGCAAACUCAGUGAUGCAUUGGCUUGUGGCCAAUGCAGUGCUGCAGGGAAGCCGUUAAGUUUGCCGCCUGGGAAGUACGUACGCAAGUAUGAAACUUAAAGGAAUUGGCGGGGGAGCACCACAAGGGGUGAAGCCUGCGGUUCAAUUGGAGUCAACGCC
rnacentral:rRNA from 1 species